GACAGAGGCCCCAAGCGUUAGGCGGAAUCACUGGGCUUAAAGCGUGUGUAGGUGGAUGCCUAAGUCCCUUGUGAAAUCCCACAGCUUAACUGUGGAACUGCUUGGUAUACUGGGUGUCUUGAGUCACUCAGGGGCGAGCGGAACAAAUGGUGGAGCGUUGAAAUGCGUAGAUAUCAUUUGGAACGCCAAUGGUGAAAACAGCUCGCUGGGGGUGCACUGACACUGAGACACGAAAGCCAGGGGAGCGAACGGG
rnacentral:rRNA from 1 species